CCCCCCCCCAACACACACACACACACCUUCCCCGUUGCCAUCCCCACACCCCUCCUCUCUGACGUAUGAAAACUUUGCCGAACUUCUCGCCCCACUUCAGCAGCCGGUCCAAUCAGAACCCAGCGAGCGGGACACAAAAGGCGAUUCGACAAAGUUUGGGAACAUUUGCUCGGUUGUUUACAACAGGCUCAAUGAUGUCAGAAUCGGCUUCUGCAAGUGUUCGCGCGUUCACGGUGAAUUAUGAACCGCGGCUAUUGUGUUCCACCACUCAGCGGGUGAGACGUGAGUAUCGGUGUUGAACAAAGGAUUGAGACAGCGGGCGAGUAACGAGCCGAGUGUGAAUGUACGGUACGGUAAUUGGACCGGUCCCGCCUUUGUUCGGGUUUUACUGCAGCCAUUUUUAGAAGGUAUUUCAUUUAAGUUUGAUCAUAUAUUUGUAACUUCAGCAAGUGAAGCACAAACAUUUACAACCUAGGUACAAAUAUUAAUCGUGAUACGACAGUGGCUUAGAAUCGCAUUUAGAAAAGUCCCUUUUGGCCAACUAUUUUAAAAGGAAUAUAUCAAUAGUUUGGUCUGUUUGUAAUAACCUAUUUCAAAUGAUGAUCUCUACAACCAGAACCAGAACAACAACUUGCUCCAGGCAAUAGAGCUUCCAUAUUAUAUACAGUAUAUACAUAUAUUUGCAAUGUCACAAAAGAAAAUGAUAGAUCCAAUACAGAAGACUUAUCAGGAAAUCGGUCUGGUGCUUCAGCACCACGGACAGCGGCAGAGAUUCAUCGACACGCCACUAAGCUCUAACGCCUCUCGUGUGUUUCCAGGCUACACGCACGUUGCCUCCGACCCGCCUACGGCUGCGGGCUCCCACAAUCCUUUGCUCUAAUUAUUCAAAUAACAGACAGGGCCGAGAGCCGCGAUUCGCCAGCCCUCUUCAAUUAGCGCGGUGUUAAUUAAAGAGCAUCAUCAGGUUCUCGUUAGUGAUUAAACACCCGAGUGUGAUUACUUAACUCAGCAGGACUCCUGACGAAUCAUCAGCCCCCCCCAACCUCCACCCCCCCCCCGUCACCCCCGAUCCCUCAGACGGGCGUUUGUGAGCGUGCUUGUGCGUCUGAAAUUCAGCAAAGGGAACAGAUUCUCCCGCUCGCGCUGCAUAUCAAUGCUCCAGUGAACACUGCAUAUGCAAAGCUGCGAGGACGUGUGCGUGCGUCCGACCAAAGGCGGGUUUGGUUCACUUGCUGAUGAGGUGUCUGAAGUAAGUUAAUUGCCUAUCAAGAGAGCAAGCCAGCUCUGCCUCUCCCUGUGUGUGUGUGUGUGUGUGUGUGUGUGUGUGUGUGUGUGUGUGUGUGCUUGUAUUUUUGCGAUUGUCAGAGGAUUUUUGUGCGUCCCUGCGUGUUUUCAGGAGCUAAUUGCCUAUCAGAGGACAGCUCAGGUCCGUGUUUAGGCGCUUGUUGUAUAAGCGUAUGUGCAGAAAUAUGAAUGGAUAUUGAGUGCAGAAAAACACUGCAGUUACUACAACUUAUAAAAAUAACGACUUAAUCACUUAAAUGUUUCCAUCCAGAGACUUUGUUCAAGCGCUUAAAGAAGAAAAGAAACCUCUGCUGGCAGUGACGUUCAUCACGUCCCUCGUGAGGAACAAGUAAGUAACUCUGGAUGCCUGGAACUGGACUCGUGCAACGACGUGAGGAAACAUCUCAGCGCCUGCAGGAUGUCAGCAACACAUCGGCCCUCGAAGGCGAGGAUUGAUCACAAUGUGGAGAAAGAAGGGUACACGUGACACAAGUAGCAUCCGUUUGGCAUCAGAGUGACUUUCUCUGGGAAAGCUGCCGUCGACAUGUUUCACCCCGUAUAGUACAUUUGGUUUUUAUACAUCCACAACAAUAUAACCGGAAAAUAACACUUUUACCAAAGUUGGACAGCUGUUGUUAUUGACACACAGAACACAUUACGGAACAUCUCUGAAUAUCUUAUGUUACAGGACACGAUGACGUAGAUCAGAUCAGAUCAACUCUACCCCAAAGCACCAGAGGAAAUACAGUGAAAUACAUCACAAUAUACAAGUGGUCCCAGUUUUAUAUCAAUUGUAUUAAUAAUACUUCUAGUAUUUUGAUGUACGGUUUUGCUUUUAUUACUGAAUAACAUGUUCCACAUCCUGUGCGUGCGUGUGUGUGUGUCAGUGUGAACACAGUAAUUUACCUCUAGAGGAUGGAGAUGCUAAUUAAGAUGGAUCCACCUCCACCUCCUUUAGCCCCGCCUCCGUCCCUCACAUUUAUCAGUGUUAUGCUAAUGUGUGUGUGUGUGUGUGCACCACAAAAUCCCAUCUCGAGCCACACAGAUCAAAACUACCACCGUCCCAUCUGACUAGUAGUAAUAUAUUGCAUUUAAUAACACUGCACACACACACACACACACACACACACACACACAGGCACAGAGAAUCAAUAUCCAUGAUUUAAUAAUGCAAUGUAAUGAUCCAACUGGUUUCACGGGCCUUACUUCUGGCCACGAGAGCGCAUCGCCACGACAACGGGCUCCAGAAUAACAGAUCUACUGCUAGUGCUAAUUGAAUGUGUACAGUAUAUGCGCACAAGCGUGCGUGCGUGUGUGUGUGUGUGUGUGUGCGCCCACACAUACGAUGACUAAACAGGCAGCACAUUCUUCAUCCUUGGAGUGAUGAAGUAGGAUUUAAUAAACAGCCAUAAACUCACACACACGCAGACGCACUCGGCAGGUGAGCGAAGCUGAGUUGACACUUUGUCAGCGCUGUGUAAUUUGACAUAAUGAAUGCAAGCAUCGUUACUGCUGUUAAUUGGCCACACUAAUUAUACUCGGAGGACGUCAUUAGAGAGAACUUGCCGCUCCAACUGCGCGCGUGUGUGUGUGUGUGUAUGUGUGUGUGCGUGUGUGUGUUUACGAGUCAGGUUCAGGCAGACGGUGGGAAAAACGGGUGCUGGAGACUUGAGGUGGGUUCGAGCUCAGGACGCGAUCGGGAGGAGGAGGCGUGCAGGUGGCGAGGGCGGAGGGCGGGGGGAGGAAGGGUCUAGUUUAGGGGUGAGACGAUGGGGAGGGGAGAGGGGGGGGGGGAUUUCAGGCCAAACAGAGGUGUGGCGAAGGAAGACAGAAGGUUUGAGGCGAGAGAGCGAGGUGCUGGAGAGGUUCAUGGGGUCAGGAAAAGUUUGCCAAAGUCACAAACGCGUGUUAAAGAAUAAAAGAGCCAAUAAUAGUUGUAUAUACGAAUAAAGCGAGCAGGCGCACUUUUACAUCUAAAUCUUAAAUUUAUUGUGUUUUGUCCCACAAGGAGCCACACAUUCGUACUUUGUGUUCAGGUUGAAACUGCAGCAGUGGUUCGGAUGAUUUAGCUGCUUCAUAAGCAUCUAUUUAACGCCUGAGCGAUCAGCGCAAACAACCUAUAAGGAGAGAUUUGGGGUAUUUGAAGUGUAGUACGACGCACAUAUUCAAAGUCAGGGCUUUAAAAAUCAGAACCCUGUAAACGUAGAAGUAAAUGUACAAACACAGGGGGAAACCACUGGCUUGGCCGACAUGUUUAGUUCCUCCUCUCCACACUGACCGCAACCACAUCCCCUCACGUUCCCUUUUUGCUCAAACCCGGCCCGACCUCAGCGUCCACCUGCAAGCAGCCAUCUCUGCUUACAAUAAUCCCGAUGCUGGCAUCGAUUGAGCUUCUACCUGAAGUCAAAUCCACGUUCGACUACCAGGUAGAGAAGAGUUCCCUCAGCGAGUCGAGUACAGAAACGCGGAAACAACCAUCAAAACGGGCCGAUAAAAGAGAUUAUUUUCCGACGGUUGACUCAUGACUGUUCACCUGCGACCAAAUACUUCAUCAACUCACUUCCUUCAGAGUAGAAAACAUCACCGGAAAAAAGGGUUGAUACAAACAAACUAUUUCAGAAACAGAAGAACUACAAACAAGGAAAGAAGCGUCUUGCAGACGCCUCCUGGCUGAAUCACCGGUGGAGUAUUUACAGCCAUUAGAGCCCAGCAAUCUGAGCAAAUUCUGAGAAACAAUAUCGGCUCGCAGUCCUCCGGCAGAGAGAGAGAGAGAGGGGGGGGGGGGUCUCGACGGGUAAAGCAUGUAAUUUCCUAAUUCUGAUCUUGCAAAAGAAUCCGUCAUUAUCAGUCUCUGAUUCCCACAUUGGAGGAAAAGUAGAUAGAAGCUGCAGGCCAGCAAACACACACACACACACACUCUCACACACACACACACACACACACACACACAGGAGCGUGAAAUCGCAUAAAGGAAAAGGAUACAGAUAGAAAGACUGAGAGACUAGUGAGAGAACAAACAGGGCCGAUCCAAGCGACCACAGACCCAGAUAACAAGAUAAGGCCUAAUCAAUCAAUCCUCGCACACUGAGGGAGAUUGUGCUAAGUGGCUCAUGAGUCCUGCAGUAAAUUAAAUCUGCACACUCCUUCAAGUAAGACAGAAUGUGGGGAGUGAGAGUUGCAGGGGGAAGGAGGAAGAGACAGGGGGGAUAAUAGAGGGUAAUUUCAUCAGCGUGGCCCGUGAUGAAGCUUUUACACGGUGGUUUGAGAGGCCAAACUAAAAGGCUGGAGGUUUGGUGAUAUUGAAUAUGAGCGGUGUGUCAUGAUUCGAUUUGUAAGACGAUAGGCGGCGAUUCGAUUACGCCGCCUAAUGCGGAUAUCUGAAAGGGUGUCAGAUCUUAAGGGUUCGCCGUUUGCGUGUUUCUUGAAAACGUUCUUCCUGUGCAGGCGAGACACACUGUGAUUCACUGUGACUCACUCAGUCCGACCCAUCCAUCCGCCUGUGUGUGUGUGUGUGAACGUCCUUUUAGUUGACUAACCAUCACCAGGCUGCCGAAACCAAAACAAAUACUUAAGAAGCAGCAGAACCAAAAAUACAUUUUAAAAGACGGCGGCCAAAGAAAAGAAGUGAAUGUAAAUAAUUGUGUUUGGAGAAACAGUAGCGUUGGUGCUCCAGAGGACGAUGAAUCUUUUUCUUGGUUUUUUUUUGGAGGCCACGGUGCCAAAGUAAGUGUUUUGUUUGGCCUUGUUUAAUUAUUCCAGACGCAGGGAAAAAGGUGGAGGAGGAGGAACAUGGAGUCAGCGCGGCGCGGCGCCAGACGUUAGCAGAGAGCGAUCGCUCUGACGACGGACACGUUGAGACCAAACGUUCCGUCUCAUCGGUUCGUCUUAAAUCAGCUCCGAGGAGCUUCGAAGCGUCUCGGAACUCAUUGUUUUGGUUAAAUAAGAUAGUGGCUGUUCUGUAACUGGGGCGAGCAGAUGAUAAUCCAAUAAUCCACCGGAACGACACUCAGUUUAACUUUUUACUCACUUGUACCUCACACACACAAACCAACAAAUCCAAAUGAUGAAAUAGGAAGAAUGAUGGAGACAGAGGGAAGGCCUCGUGUCGAGACAUGGACGGGUACACACACACACACACACACACACACUAAUAAAGUUGUCUGGGUGUUGUUUGGCAGGGAGGGCGGGCGGGAGAUUCAUGAUUUUUAAUAUGCAGAGCAACUGCAAAGUGGAAAACCAGACGCAGUCUUCACACACACACACACACACACAUACACAGUGUGCAUGAACUAUGAAGAUGUUUUUCUACUCGCAUGGUGACAGACAGCAGCUAACACACAACAGAUCGCUCCCAGCAGAGAACACACAGCCGUCACAUCAUUAACACCUCCUGCUGCGUACCGCCGGGCCGCCGCCGUCUGGGGACACGAAGCCGAGAGGGGAGGCUGCACACUCAGGACGGAGAGGUGCUAUGAAUGUGUGUAUUCGUGUCUCCAGGUGUGUGUGUGUGUGUGUGUGUGUUCUCUCUAUCUCCCAAAUGCCUCAAACUCAUCUGCUAAUUAGUCAGGAGCAAUUAAGUGCGCUUAAACUAACCGCACACAGCGGCAGCCUAAACACACAUGCAGGUAAACAAAUAAUCACAAACGCAGCAAAUGACUCACUUUAACUGUAUCAGCUAACAAAAAAAAGGAAAGCAAACAGAAAUAUAGAGCGAGGGAAUCGCUGUCGGUGUAGAUGAGUGGGAAGAGGAGGGGGGGGGGCCGGAGUAAAAAGGAGUAAAGCAAGAAGGAGGAGAAAGAGAUAAUCAUAAGUCCCAAUGGACAGAUUGAAGCGGAGUGGAUUCUAUUGCACGCUAUCUCUCAUUUAUAUGCUAAUUCGCGCUAUUAAAAGAGGGAGAAAGAGACGGGAAAGGAGUCUAAUGAAUAGCUCUGAUCGCUGUUUGUUCAGAAGUUAGUUUGUGUUUUUGCAGAGAGGAGCGACCGGCCUCCUUUGUAACAAACUGUGGCUCCAACGUGGAGAGUGAAUAAUUGAAAUGAAACGGAGAAAAACACAUAUAAAAUAAAGCCAGAAAGAACGAUGCUAUCAAUGUAAUUCAAUUUGGAUUAACGCUGAAAAUCAUCUCCUUUCAUCCCUCCUCCCCUCCUUCACUUUUGUUCCUUUAUGAUACUGAUAGCCACUUGAGUGCUUCCCUCAUUUUCUGCCUUAAGCUUUCUGCUGCUGCUGAACUCAAUUCAGCGCAAUUAACUAUAAAUAUGAGCUCACGUGCGCACAAAUAGUGCGUCGCUGCACCGAGGUCACGUUAGGGCGCCCACAACGGACAAAGCACGGUGCACGGACAGACGUCUUUGUCAUGUUGUCUAAGUGUCACGGAUCGAUGGCACAGGUCCAGGGGCCCCGGGGGGGUCAGGGGCCGCCCCUCGGCCUCCAACGAUGUCACUGACAGAGACACGAAUCAACCAGGAUGACGUUCAAAAUGACCACAGAGAGACUGAAAAAGACCACGAAGGGAUGCAGAACAACAAUUAAAGAGAUGCACAAGACUACAAACAGAGAUGAAAGGACUAGAAACAACUACGAAGACUAAAAAGACACACAUAAGGACGACAGAGGAACAUCAAAUAACUAGAAUGACAAAGACAAGACUUACAUCCACAAAGAAACACAAAAAGAUAACUAACAAUUGACAAAACAACGACAUAAAGACACACAACAACGAAGAGAGCCUGUGUGUGUUCUGGUUCCCGUGAUCCACGGAGCUGUGAGAUCACACAUCACACUGGACGCACACAACCAGAAGUCUAAGGUCAAACAAACGCCGAUCAACACAACAAUGAGGGAACGCGAACGCGUUUCAUGUAAACACACUGAACCGUUCCUGAAGCAAAGCUUCACCCUGACGGCGUCUGUGAUCCGUUGAGCACGUGUGUCCUCUCUCCGUCUCUUACGUGACUAAUUCAGACAAACAGAAGAAGCGUCCGCAGAGGAGCUUAACACACACACACACACACACACUGAUCAUUACCUCCUUGUCACAGACACUUAAGGAAACACAAAGAAGAAGGAGUCGCCAACGCUGAGGUGUGUGUUUGUGUAGAGACCACGUGUGAGGGUUUCCACGGGGCGACAUACGGAGGUUCUUGUGGGGGGGGGGUGAUCGCUUUUCCAGCGCUGUCGUCACAAAGACGCUCUUAUACUCCAGCAGCCCUGCUUCAACCCAUCAAUCUUUCGCACCUUUCACGCUGGCGGCUGCGGGUCAAAGGGCCUCGCAGAUGGCCGACGCGCCGAGGACGCACCGAAGGAAACGUCACAGAGGACAAGAGAUACUGAGCAAUUUGAGACAAAUGAUAAUAAGAAAUGACAAUAAAAUGGAAAACGUAUUGGUGAAAGCACAGUGAAGGAGGCUCAGACCUCGUCUUCCGCUUCGUCCUCCUUAAAUAUGUCUUCCCUCGACACGUUAAUUCUCACUGUGAAACAUGUUGGAAGGACGUUCUGCAAGCAGAGGCUUAUAAGCACCUUAUGAUCAAUCACACCGAGGGCGAGUAAGUCACAUUCCUCCCUAAUAUAUAUA
ensembl:lncRNA